rnacentral:lncRNA from 1 species
GGUCUAGAUGAGUCAUUAAAUGCUAACUUGACAAGACGUCUUCCACCAUGUAGGUGUGUUUGACACGUUAGUGGGCCAUGUGUACUUUACUUUUUUCUCGAAUCAAAAUGAUGUCAUUUUAAUUUUGUUCAAUUUUCUUAACAUAAAUCCUUUUACGAAACAAUAUCAUUUUGGGAUUAAAUUUUUUAAAAUAAAAAGUUGAAACCUAAAACGAAGUCAUUUUGGUUUCUUCUUCUAGAUAAAACCAGGGAAUAGAAAACAAAUCGUUUUCAUCCUUGGCUUUUCUUCAUUCAUCUACUUAUUAUCUUCAUUCAUCCUAUACGGUUUGUUACCUUCUUUCAUCUGUACUUGCUUUUGUUCCCAGUUUUUGUUCAUCCCUCAAAACAAGAAGAACAACAUUUUUAUUGUGG